AGAGUUUGAUCCUGGCUCAGGACGAACGCUGGCGGCGUGCCUAAUAAAUGCAAGUCGAGCGGACUUGAUGGAGUGCUUGCACUCCUGAGAGUUAGCGGCGGACGGGUGAGUAACACGUAGGCAACCUGCCCUUAAGACUGGGAUAACUACCGGAAACGGUAGCUAAUACCGGAUAAUUUAUUUUGCUGCAUGGUGAGAUAAUGAAAGGCGGAGCAAUCUGCCACUUGAGGAUGGGCCUGCGGCGCAUUAGCUAGUUGGUGGGGUAACGGCCCACCAAGGCGACGAUGCGUAGCCGACCUGAGAGGGUGAACGGCCACACUGGGACUGAGACACGGCCCAGACUCCUACGGGAGGCAGCAGUAGGGAAUCUUCCGCAAUGGACGAAAGUCUGACGGAGCAACGCCGCGUGAGUGAUGAAGGUUUUCGGAUCGUAAAGCUCUGUUGCCAGGGAAGAACGCUUGAGAGAGUAACUGCUCUUGAGGUGACGGUACCUGAGAAGAAAGCCCCGGCUAACUACGUGCCAGCAGCCGCGGUAAUACGUAGGGGCAAGCGUUGUCCGGAAUUAUUGGG
rnacentral:rRNA from 1 species